AAAAUAUUGUUUUUUCAUUUUUAGCGCGUAUAGUUUAAUUUAUUAAUUAUAUAUUACAAAUUAUACUUUUUGGAAAAUGUCAUAGAGAAAAUGAAUAGUGCCUAUCAACUAAAUCAGAGGAUCUAAUUUAAUAAAUUAAUUAAAUAAUUCAAACCGGGUUCUUUCAAACUCUAAAAGGUAACCAAACGAAAGAAUGUAAAUAGAACAUUUCAAAUAACAUAAUCAAACAAUUAUUCCACUUGUUGCGUAGAUCAAAGUAAAGGCGGUUCGUGACUUUCAUCGGCGUUUAUUAACACUAUAACUGGUUAGGACAGUUAAUAGAUUUGUAUAUCCAGAUGGUGAAAAAUUAAAAGAAAUAAAUUAGUUUUACAAUUUUUCAUGAAGAAAUUAUUUAAGACUAACUGAAUUUUGAUUAAGAACAACAAUUAACUAAUUAUAAGUAGGGAAUAGCAAAGUAAUUAGUUGUCAGUGAGUUUUUAGUAAGCUUUAUAUAAAUGCAAUUAGUAAUAUAUGCUUGAUUAUAUGACAAAUUAUAGUACCCAGAUGUAUUUGUGAAAAUGUAGUAACACAAAAUAUGUAUACAGGUAACAAUUUUAUGCAG